AUAAAAAUAAUUAUACAAAAUAUUAAAAACACACCUGGAAAUCAAGAUUACAAGGAGAUGGAGAGAAUUUGAGAAGAAGAGAGUUGUAGAGAGAUGAUUAAAAACAUAAAAAUGAGGCUCUAUUUAUAAAAAAAUAAAUUCAUAAUCUAGUGUUUUGCGGUCCAUCAUAAGCUUCAUGCAUGUGUUCCUCACAACCUUUAGAUCAAGAUCCAAAGGCUGGUCAAACUUCAAAAGUCAACAUCACACGUGGCAUUGUUUGACUCGUCUGAUUUGCCCAAAGAACAGUUGAGAUUUGGCGGGUUAAUGGGUGGAUCGGGUCGACCCGAAUACAAAGAUUCGGAUCCUCCAACUUGCUUCACCAACCAUUGCCACGUGGCACAAUCAUGGCCAUUGAAUCAUGAACGGGUUGAGAUUUAAUCAAAAUUGCCAGCUAUCCCAUGCACUCAUAUCUAUUGUAAAGCUCAUUUCAUCAUCCAAUCAGUGCUUGGUCAAUAGAAAAAGUCAACUUUUUUUACACAAGCCCAAUUUUAAG
rnacentral:lncRNA from 1 species